AGCGAACGCUGGCGGCAGGCCUAACACAUGCAAGUCGAGCGGCCGUAGCAAUACGGCAGCGGCAGACGGGAGAGUAACACGUGGGAACGCGCCCUUCGGUUCGGGAUAACUCAGGGAAACUUGAGCUAACACCGGAUACGCCCUUACGGGGAAAGAUUUAUUGCCGAAGGAACGGCCCGCGUCCGAUUAGCUUGUUGGUGAGGUAACGGCUCACCAAGGCGACGAUCGGUAGCUGGUCUGAGAGGAUGACCAGCCUCACUGGGACUGAGACACGGCCCAGACUCCUACGGGUGGCAGCAGUGGGGAAUAUUGGACAAUGGGCGCAAGCCUGAUCCAGCCAUGCCGCGUGGGUGAUGAAGGCCCUAGGGUUGUAAAGCCCUUUCAGCGGGGAAGAUAAUGACGGUACCCGCAGAAGAAGCCCCGGCUAACUUCGUGCCAGCCGCCGCCGUAACAC
rnacentral:rRNA from 1 species